UCCUGCUCCAGGUGAAUGGUUCAGCUGCCAUCCCGUGCUCACGGCGGUGCUGCUGCUGCUGCUCCUGGUGCUGGUGCUGGCUUUGGGGGUGGCCUUGGCUGUGCAGUCAGGAUUUGCUCUUCCGCCUCCGCGGGAACGUCGAUUACUGGAUCGGGCUGCGCAGACGGGGCGAGCGCCUGCACUGGGGGGACGGCAGCAGCUACAGCUCCUGGGUUCCUGUCUUUGGAAAUUCUGAGUGUGUGUACCUGGCUGAGGAUAGACUUAAGAGUGAGAACUGCUCAAUCGAGCAGCCGUAUGUCUGCAGCAAGGCCCAAGCUGCCCUGUGACAGGGCUGCAGAAAGGACCUUGUCCCUGCUGGGCAGUGCCAGCUUCAGCUCUGAGCCCAGCACAGAGCUGAAGCUGGCACUGCCCAGCGGGGACAAGGUUCGUCAGCUGCAACCUGUGUUAAUAUGAAAACCAAUAACUUUAUUUUAAUUUAUAACAUCUUUUAAUUAUCUGUAUUGGGAAAUCCAAAUUGCCCUGGGCUCUUGAAAAUCAUCACAAAUUGGCCUGCACAUGACACUUCUGGACUGUCUUUGGAAGAGGAAGAAGAGCAGCUGACAGUGCUGAGGAGGAAUCCCACUUUCGCCAUCAGGCACCUG
rnacentral:lncRNA from 1 species